AUUGAACGCUGGCGGCAGGCCUAACACAUGCAAGUCGAACGAGUGGCGGACGGGUGAGUAAUGUCUGGGAAACUGCCUGAUGGCGGGGGAUAACUACUGGAAACGGUAGCUAAUACCGCAUACCAUCAUAUGUGCCCAGAUGGGAUUAGCUAGUAGGUGGGGUAACGGCUCACCUAGGCGACGAUCCCUAGCUGGUCUUAGAGGAUGACCAGCCAAACGGGAACUAAGACACGGUCAAGACGCCUACGGGAGGAAGCAGUGGGGAAUAUUGCACAAUGGGCGCAAGCCUGAUGCAGCCAUGCAGCGUGUAUGAAGAAGGCCUUCGGGUUGUAAAGCACUUUCAGCGGGGAGGCGUUACCCGCAGAAGAAGCACCGGCUAACUCCGUGCCAGCAGCCGCGGUAAUUC
rnacentral:rRNA from 1 species